UCCAUAGGAGCGCAACCAGCAGCUCAAGUAGUUUUACCCGUGCAACCAUCCUGCUAAUUCGCUGGACCUGAAGAAUACCGACGAGUCAACGGACACAGGACGUUCCUGCAGGCUCUGCUGCAGGAGCUACAUCAUCCACUCGCAUACUGUACAUUGUUUACUGAGACAACAUCAACAUGGAAUAUUUGUCUGUCAACUCAGUGAAGCACCAACGGAUCAAGGACAUUGAGGUUGAUAUUUGUAUUCUACUCGAAAAAGUUUUUUCAGCAAACACAUCGAGACGUUGGAAGAAAUUGACGUGGUGUAAAAGGAGCUGGCUUUACAGUCUGGCGUUAAGCACUGGGGAGGAGUUCGUUCUU